AGUCAUGGAGAUAAGUGAAUAGGCGGGCCGGGUAAUGGGGACAGGAUGACCCUCACAUGGUGGAAUCCAGGUUGGUGGGUUCAGGACUUAGGGGAUAU